CCUACGGGUGGCAGCAGUGAGGAAUAUUGGUCAAUGGCCGGAAGGCUGAACCAGCCAAGCCGCGUGAGGGAAGACGGCCCUAUGGGUUGUAAACCUCUUUUGUCGGAGAACAAAACCCGGGACGUGUCCCGGCCUGCGUGUAUCCGAAGAAAAAGCAUCGGCUAACUCCGUGCCAGCAGCCGCGGUAAUACGGAGGAUGCGAGCGUUAUCCGGAUUUAUUGGGUUUAAAGGGUGCGUAGGCGGUCCGUUAAGUCAGCGGUAAAAUUGCGGGGCUCAACCCCGUCGAGCCGUUGAAACUGGCAGACUUGAGUUGGCGAGAAGUACGCGGAAUGCGCGGUGUAGCGGUGAAAUGCAUAGAUAUCGCGCAGAACUCCGAUUGCGAAGGCAGCGUACCGGCGCCAGACUGACGCUGAGGCACGAAAGCGUGGGGAUCGAACAGGAUUAGAUACCCUGGUAGUC
rnacentral:rRNA from 1 species